rnacentral:rRNA from 1 species
GAUGAACGCUGGCGGCGUGCCUAAUACAUGCAAGUCGAGCGAAUGGAUUAAGAGCUUGCUCUUAUGAAGUUAGCGGCGGACGGGUGAGUAACACGUGGGUAACCUGCCCAUAAGACUGGGAUAACUCCGGGAAACCGGGGCUAAUACCGGAUAACAUUUUGAACCGCAUGGUUCGAAAUUGAAAGGCGGCUUCGGCUGUCACUUAUGGAUGGACCCGCGUCGCAUUAGCUAGUUGGUGAGGUAACGGCUCACCAAGGCAACGAUGCUUAGCCGACCUGAGAGGGUGAUCGGCCACACUGGGACUGAAACACGGCCCAGACUCCUACGAGAGGCAGCAGUAGGGAAUCUUCCGCAAUGGACGAAAGUCUGACGGAGCAACGCGGCGUGAGUGAUGAAGGCUUUCGGGUCGUAAAACUCUGUUGUUAGGGAAGAACAAGUGCUAGUUGAAUAAGCUGGCACCUUGACGGUACCUAACCAGAAAGCCACGGCUAACUACGUGCCAGCAGCCGCGGUAA